rnacentral:rRNA from 1 species
UACGUAGGGUGCAAGCGUUGUCCGGAAUUAUUGGGCGUAAAGAGCUCGUAGGCGGUUUGUUGCGUCGGCUGUGAAAUCCCGAGGCUCAACCUCGGGUCUGCAGUCGAUACGAGCAAACUAGAGUGUUGCAGGGGAGACUGGAAUUCCUGGUGUAGCGGUGAAAUGCGCAGAUAUCAGGAGGAACACCGGUGGCGAAGGCGGGGUCUCUGGGGCAACAACUGACGCUGAGGAGCGAAAGCGUGGGGAGCGAACAGG